rnacentral:rRNA from 1 species
UACGUAGGGACCGAGCGUUGUCCGGAAUCAUUGGGCGUAAAGAGCGUGUAGGCGGCUACUUAAGUCCUGCGUGAAAUCCUGCGGCUCAACCGCAGGCGGUCGUGGGAAACUGGGUGGCUAGAGUGCGGGAGAGGAGAGUGGAAUUCCUGGUGUAGCGGUGGAAUGCGCAGAUAUCAGGAAGAACACCCGUGGCGAAGGCGGCUCUCUGGAACGCAACUGACGCUGAGACGCGAAAGCGUGGGGAGCAAACAGG